rnacentral:lncRNA from 1 species
GAUAAAUUUAAUGUUUUAAAAAAAAAUUUCGCAAAUGGAGAUAUCCAAUACAUCACUUUUGUAAAACAGUUAUCAUUAAUUGGGGGUAAAAAUCUAGCUGAUACAAUUAAAAAUAAUUUGCUCUUACUGCCAACAGACAAUAUUUUGUCAGAAUACAGCAUGAAUUGUCUAAAGAAGAAAAAAAAGUUUAAAGAGUUGACAAGUCUAUGUAACUCUGUCACUGAAGCUGCUUUAAAGUCAAAUUAUAACUUAACCAAAACGGAUGCUAUCCAACUUAUUGGGAGAGUAAUUAGGCAUUCUUCUGACCGAAUAAAGAAAACAUCGACUUAUAUGGAUUUCGAUCAAUGUUGGCUUAAUUAACUGUUGUAUUUUGUAU